rnacentral:rRNA from 1 species
AGUGGCAGACGGGUGAGUAACAUGUGGGUACCUUCCCUUUGGUGAGGAAUAACACGAGGAAACUUGUGCUAAUACCUCAUAAGUCUUUACGGAGAAAGCUUCAUGCGCCAAUGGAUGAGCCCGCACUUGAUUAGUUAGUUGGUGGGGUAAAGGCCUACCAAGACUUUGAUCAAUAGCUGAUUUGAGAGGAUGAUCAGCCACAUUGGGACUGAGACACGGCCCAAACUCCUACGGGAGGCAGCAGUAAGGAAUCUCGCACAAUGGAGGAAACUCUGAUGCAGCGAUGCCGCGUGAGUGAAGAAGGCCCUUGGGUUGUAAAGCUCUUUCGUCGGGGAAGAAAAUGACUGUACCCGAAUAAGAAGGUCCGGCUAACUUCGUACCAGCAGCCGCGGUAAUACGAAGGGACCUAGCGUAGUUCGGAAUUACUGGGCUUAAAGAGUUCGUAUGUGGUUAAAAAAGUUGGUGGUGAAAUCCCAGAGCUUAACUCUGGAACUGCCAUCAAAACUUUUUAGCUAGAGUAUGAUAGAGGAAAGCAGAAUUUCUAGUGUAUAGGUGAAUUUCGUAGAUAUUAGAAAGAAUACCAAUU